GCCAAUUAAGUGUUUAUUUGCACAUUGACUUUUCACGUCAAAAGAGCACAAAGUGCACUUGGCC
rnacentral:tRNA from 1 species